rnacentral:rRNA from 1 species
UACGAAGGGGGCUAGCGUUGCUCGGAAUCACUGGGCGUAAAGGGUGCGUAGGCGGGUCUUUAAGUCAGGGGUGAAAUCCUGGAGCUCAACUCCAGAACUGCCUUUGAUACUGAGGAUCUUGAGUCCGGGAGAGGCGAGUGGAACUGCGAGUGUAGAGGUGAAAUUCGUAGAUAUUCGCAAGAACACCAGUGGCGAAGGCGGCUCACUGGCCCGAUACUGACGCUGAGGCACGAAAGCGUGGGGAGCAAACAGG